UACGUAGGGGGCAAGCGUUGUCCGGAUUUACUGGGCGUAAAGCGCGCGUAGGCGGGAAGAGAAGUCCGGUGGGAAAGCCCACGGCUCAACCGUGGAAGGACGCUGGAAACUCUCUUUCUUGAGGGCGGCAGAGGGAAGUGGAAUUGCUGGUGUAGCGGUGAAAUGCGUAGAUAUCAGCAGGAACACCCGUGGCGAAGGCGGCUUCCUGGGCCGCACCUGACGCUGAGGCGCGAAGCGUGGGGAGCGAACGGG
rnacentral:rRNA from 1 species